GGAAUGUCUGCAUACGUGAUUUUCCACACAGCAGUCAGCUUCCUGUUGCCAGACGAAACAGGGACGGUGUGAAAGAAGCUGUGCCAGCUCUACCAAAGGCUUGCCCUUAAUCAGCACAGUGACACCCAUUAAUGACCCCACCCCCUAUGAUGAGUCAGUGUUUGCUGCAAACUGGUUCUAGUGUAAAUAUUUUUUUCUCUCUCCAGACAAACACAAAAGUCAGAAAUAACAGUGAUUCUGAGAGCAGAAGGUCAAAGGUCACCUGAAGGGGUAAGCCAUUUUGCCAGGGAGAGAAGGAAGGAACGAUUCCUUGGCAGAGUGUGUACGUGUUGUAAUUUGAGAGUGCAAACUGAUGUGUUUUUGAAGCCUGGCAGUGACACAGAGGAGAUUUCGACUGAAGCUGCUGAUGGAUGAUAAUCAGGAGAUUGUGAUUUUCAAGGCCACAAAAAUCCACUCUAAUUCAUCUGUUUUUCCUGGAGGCUUCUGAAACUGAGGUCAGAAUGUCAUGGGACGUGACAGGCUUUUUCUUUUUUUACUGAGGUUUAUACAAGUUCAUGGUUGCAGGGCGAGGCUAAAAUAACACCUGACAGUCUACUGCAAGCCAUUACAUUAUGAUGCCUCAUAACAAAUCCUACAACAUUGUACUGUCUGACAGGAUUAGAUUCAGAUAUAUGCAGAAAAUAUGCAGUUUAAUCCACAAAGGAGUGACUGAAGGAGUUUCACAACCUUUAUCCACAAGGCUUCUCCAGUUGCGACUGACUGAUAGGAAUUUCUGUGGAUUAGCAGAGCUCCUACACUUUCUAUUAAAAAUUGGCUGCCAUUCAGGAAGGGGGCAACAGAUGGUACCUUCUAUGAACAGGAGACAAUGGUAGAAAAGCUGAAAAAAGUUUUUACUUUUUGUGUCUGUAGCUAUAAUAUGUACAAAUAAACAAAACAGAAUUUCUGUCCUUUUGGCUUUUUUUUUUUAAAGUUACCAUUGACCAUUGGCUUUUCUUACAGAAAAGCUGGUUUACCCAUAAAAUGCUAGCUGAAGCAUGCUAAUUGGUUUACAUUACGCAACAGCACAUGCAUAGUUGUGGUGGUUGUAGGUGUGACAGAAGUCUGGACAUGAAGUCCCCAGAGUGGUGCAUAUUAGCAGUAGAUUACACACGAUGUUAUA